rnacentral:tRNA from 1 species
GCUGCUCUAGUAUAGUGGUUAGUACUCCACGUUGUGGCCGUGGCGACCCUGGUUCGAUUCCAGGGGGUGGCA